AAAUUGAAGAGUUUGAUCAUGGCUCAGAUUGAACGCUGGCGGCAGGCCUAACACAUGCAAGUCGAACGGUAACAGGAAACAGCUUGCUGCUUUGCUGACGAGUGGCGGACGGGUGAGUAAUGUCUGGGAAACUGCCUGAUGGAGGGGGAUAACUACUGGAAACGGUAGCUAAUACCGCAUAACGUCGCAAGACCAAAGAGGGGGACCUUCGGGCCUCUUGCCAUCGGAUGUGCCCAGAUGGGAUUAGCUAGUAGGUGGGGUAACGGCUCACCUAGGCGACGAUCCCUAGCUGGUCUGAGAGGAUGACCAGCCACACUGGAACUGAGACACGGUCCAGACUCCUACGGGAGGCAGCAGUGGGGAAUAUUGCACAAUGGGCGCAAGCCUGAUGCAGCCAUGCCGCGUGUAUGAAGAAGGCCUUCGGGUUGUAAAGUACUUUCAGCGGGGAGGAAGGGAGUAAAGUUAAUACCUUUGCUCAUUGACGUUACCCGCAGAAGAAGCACCGGCUAACUCCGUGCCAGCAGCCGCGGUAAUACGGAGGGUGCAAGCGUUAAUCGGAAUUACUGGGCGUAAAGCGCACGCAGGCGGUUUGUUAAGUCAGAUGUGAAAUCCCCGGGCUCAACCUGGGAACUGCAUCUGAUACUGGCAAGCUUGAGUCUCGUAGAGGGGGGUAGAAUUCCAGGUGUAGCGGUGAAAUGCGUAGAGAUCUGGAGGAAUACCGGUGGCGAAGGCGGCCCCCUGGACGAAGACUGACGCUCAGGUGCGAAAGCGUGGGGAGCAAACAGGAUUAGAUACCCUGGUAGUCCACGCCGUAAACGAUGUCGACUUGGAGGUUGUGCCCUUGAGGCGUGGCUUCCGGAGCUAACGCGUUAAGUCGACCGCCUGGGGAGUACGGCCGCAAGGUUAAAACUCAAAUGAAUUGACGGGGGCCCGCACAAGCGGUGGAGCAUGUGGUUUAAUUCGAUGCAACGCGAAGAACCUUACCUGGUCUUGACAUCCACAGAACUUUCCAGAGAUGGAUUGGUGCCUUCGGGAACUGUGAGACAGGUGCUGCAUGGCUGUCGUCAGCUCGUGUUGUGAAAUGUUGGGUUAAGUCCCGCAACGAGCGCAACCCUUAUCCUUUGUUGCCAGCGGUCCGGCCGGGAACUCAAAGGAGACUGCCAGUGAUAAACUGGAGGAAGGUGGGGAUGACGUCAAGUCAUCAUGGCCCUUACGACCAGGGCUACACACGUGCUACAAUGGCGCAUACAAAGAGAAGCGACCUCGCGAGAGCAAGCGGACCUCAUAAAGUGCGUCGUAGUCCGGAUUGGAGUCUGCAACUCGACUCCAUGAAGUCGGAAUCGCUAGUAAUCGUGGAUCAGAAUGCCACGGUGAAUACGUUCCCGGGCCUUGUACACACCGCCCGUCACACCAUGGGAGUGGGUUGCAAAAGAAGUAGGUAGCUUAACCUUCGGGAGGGCGCUUACCACUUUGUGAUUCAUGACUGGGGUGAAGUCGUAACAAGGUAACCGUAGGGGAACCUGCGGUUGGAUCACCUCCUUACCUUAAAGAA
rnacentral:rRNA from 1 species